rnacentral:rRNA from 1 species
CCUACGGGUGACAGCAGUCGAGAAUCAUUCACAAUGGGGGAAACCCUGAUGGUGCGACGCCGCGUGGGGGAAUGAAGGUCUUCGGAUUGUAAACCCCUGUCAUGUGGGAGCAAAUUAAAAAGAUAGUACCACAAGAGGAAGAGACGGCUAACUCUGUGCCAGCAGCCGCGGUAAUACAGAGGUCUCAAGCGUUGUUCGGAAUCACUGGGCGUAAAGCGUGCGUAGGCUGUUUCGUAAGUCGUGUGUGAAAGGCGCGGGCUCAACCCGCGGACGGCACAUGAUACUGCGAGACUAGAGUAAUGGAGGGGGAACCGGAAUUCUCGGUGUAGCAGUGAAAUGCGUAGAUAUCGAGAGGAGCACUCGUGGCGAAGGCGGGUUCCUGGACAUUAACUGACGCUGAGGCACGAAGGCCAGGGGAGCGAGAGGGAUUAGAUACCCUUGUAGUC